CAGUAGCCGCGGUAAUACGAAGGGGGCUAGCGUUGCUCGGAAUCACUGGGCGUAAAGGGUGCGUAGGCGGGUCUUUAAGUCAGGGGUGAAAUCCUGGAGCUCAACUCCAGAACUGCCUUUGAUACUGAAGAUCUUGAGUUCGGGAGAGGUGAGUGGGACUGCGAGUGUAGAGGUGAAAUUCGUAGAUAUUCGCAAGAACACCAGUGGCGAAGGCGGCUCACUGGCCCGAUACUGACGCUGAGGCACGAAAGCGUGGGGAGCAAACAGGAUUAGAUACCCCAGUAGUCCCUGUCUCUUAUAC
rnacentral:rRNA from 1 species